CUCUACAGCCAUCCUACCCUGAACACACUAGAGCUCAUCUGAUCUCGGAAGUUAAGCAGGGUUGGGCCUGGUUAGUACUUGGAUGGGAGACUACCUAGGAAGACCAGGGCAUUAUAAAAA
rnacentral:rRNA from 1 species